AGCGCCGCUGCCUGCCACUGUCGAUAGGUAAACCCUAGUUCACCACUGCCGCUUCAGACGCAUCUUCUGCCUCCACUUGCCGAUCCUAGACAGACGAAUGGGAACUGAAGAAUGCGUGUUAAUCAGUCUUGAUAGCAUGGUGAUUGUUCAUAGGAAUGUAUCACCAUGCCAAAGAUGAGAUCUGCAAACGUGAUGCAGGUUUGUAAGUUCACAACAGCAGCGCCUUGUUGAGAAUAAGGAGCUAUGUGGAGGAGGUGCUGUUUUUCGGUUGGUUCAAAACACCUUGAAGCUGCCACAACACGAUGAUCCAAAACUUGCAAGUGUGGUUAAUAGGCUUAAAUCAAAAGUUUUAUGUGGAGAAGCUAAAUGGGAAUGGAUUUAAGCUUUCUGAACCUUGUGAUGAUUGAUUAAGAUUUGAAUAUUAGUUUUAUUGAUAAUUCAGAGAGUUGGUUGUGAUGAUUGAUUAAGAUUUGAAGAUUAGUUUUAAUGACAUUCAGAGAGUUGGUUGUGAUGAUUGAUUAAGAUUUGACACCCUUUUAUAAUUUUAUGUGUAUCUUGUAAUUGAUUCCUAUAAUAGAUGUAACAUUUAAAUAGUUAUUCAAGGUUUAACAUUUGCU